GCGCCCCCGCCCGCCCCGCCCGGCGCCGCACCACGUGGGCCCGACGCCCCACGCCUGGAGCUCCCCUCUCCGGAGCCCCGGGAAGGGAAGCAGGGCAGGGAGGCCUGGGGGGGGGGGUCUCCGGCGCUCCCUCUCCUCUGCGGGCGCCGCGCGGCUCCUAGGAGUCCGCCCCCUGUCCCGAGGCUCAGCUAGGAAGCGGGUCAUCGGGCCCCUCCCCCGACACACACCCACACACACACUCACACACACUCACACACACUCAGCCCGUCUCGCACCCGAGGUCUCGCCCGCAGACCGGUGGCGCGGGGUCAGCUGCUGCCUGCGGUCCAGGACAGGGUCGGUUCCGCCGCGCAACGCCCAGGCCCAGCUCGUCCAGAGUCUGCGGGCAGCGCACGUCCAGGAGCAGUGCUUUCUGGGCCCUCUGCGGCCAGAGCUGGCCCCGCUGCAGCUCACUUCUGCCUGCAGCCCAGACAUCCUCCUGGUCCUCCUGAUGCCCCCGGCCUCCACGGAGGACGAGAGUCUCCAGCCCAGCCCUCCCCAUCUCCAUCUUCCGCCCCCCUGACACACUGGGAGCCUCCUGAUCCGUGAACCCGUGCUGGCGGGGGUAGCUACUGACUGCUGAGGACCCCUGCCCGGGCUGUUCUCACGUGGAAAGGAUUCGGGGAGCGAGCGAUGCUUAGCUCAAAGCAUGGAGACCAGCGCUGCCCUCUCCCCAGUGACAGGUGCACGCUCAGAUCACGGAUGUGUCGGGAACAGCUGUGACUCCUGCUGCUCAGCGUCUGUCACUCCAGGCUGGGAGCGGGUCCCCAAGCUUCCGGCUGGGCCCAUCCAUCUCCCCUCUCAGUGGUGGGUGGGGGGAGCGCCAACAGCACGCAUUUGCUCUCCGCACUUCUCAUCUGACAGUGGGCAGAGGGUCCUUCUCCAGCCCUAAAACAUCCCCAGGCAGCGCCCUGGGGCUCCAAGCAGCCAGGGAGAGGUGAGUACCAAGGACCUCCCCACGGGCGUCAUCUCCUGCCAAGGGAGGCCAAGCCUAGGGGCGGUGUCUGUGACGUGGAGUCAACACUUUCACUGGUGGCAGUAAAUGCUGUCCCUAACCCUGCAGAAUAGAUAUGGGUUUCUGUGCCCUGUACAGGAGGGUGCUAUCUGACACCAGACACCCAGACUACAGAUCGCAGCCCCAUUGCUGGUCCUUAUGCCACUGAACCCCAGACCCCAGCCUCAUUCUAGGCCCUCAUCCCCUAGAUCCAGGGACCCCAGCCCCAUUUCAGCCCUUGGGCCCUUGUAGGAUGCUAGGCCCUGGCUCCCCUGGGCCCCAGCCCCCAGUCCAUCCCAGGCCCAGGCACCAGGGGGGCUGAGGUCCUCUGAGAAGGGACACGGGGUCUGGGGGGGCUCUCUCAGCCCAUCAGCAGGAGAGGACUGACUCCAGAAAAAUCAGCCUUUGUGCCCACUUAGGCUGCCAAGACCUGUGUCCGUCCUUCCACACUCAACCUUCAGAUUUCAUGAGGCUCCUUGCCCGGAAUGUCCACGUUUGAAACCUCCCAACACCAAGCCCCAUUUCAAAUAUAACCGGGAGGGAAAAUGGUGCUUGAAAUAAGCAUGCCGCAAAGGAAAACCCGCUUUCUCAAAAUGGGCUCUGGCUGCUCAGGUCCUGACCUCCCCGGCCAGGAUGGAACGUUCCAGAGACCCAUUAAUGCCAAAGGCAAAUUAAAACACACCCUGUAAAAAUGU